GAUGAACGCUGGCGGCGUGCCUAAUACAUGCAAGUCGAGCGAACGGACGCGAAGUUUGCUUCUCUGAUGUUAGCGGCGGACGGGUGAGUAACACGUGGAUAACCUCCCUAUAAUACGGGGAUAACUUCGGGAAACCGGAGCUAAUACCGGAUAAUAUUUUGAACCGCAGGGUUCAAAAGUGAAAGACGGUGUUGGUGGCAGUUAUCGAUGGAUCUGCGCUGCAUUGGCUAGUUGGGAAGGUAACGGCUUACCAAGGCAACGAUGCAUAGCCGACCGGAGGGGCGGGUAGGCGACCCUAGAACGUAGACACGGUCCUGGCUCCUGCGGGAGGCAGCAGUAGCGUAUCUUCCGCAGUGGGCGAAAGCCUGACGGAGCGACGCCGCGUGAGAGGUGGAGGUCUUCGGAUCGUAAUACUCUGUUACUAGGGAAGAACAUAUGUGUAAGUAACUGAGCCCAUCUUGACGGUAACUAAUCAGAAAGCAACGGCUAACUACGUG
rnacentral:rRNA from 1 species